rnacentral:sRNA from 1 species
UUAAUGUUAUAACACACACAUAUCGGCACGUUUUCCGGGGUGCCUUCGGGUCGGUGAAUGGGAUAUGUGGAGGCAUAAC